GCAAUGGCUGUAAUUAACCAACCAGUGCAUUGGCUUUAACCAAGCGCUUCUUUUAGGCCUAUAAUUGUUGAUCCGUCUCAAAUUGCUGUGGAGGAAUUUUUGGACUUACUGGCCCAUACACAUUUUAAGUAGAGCCGGCCAAGAGGAGCGAACGUCUUACUGAGAGAAUAGCAGGUCAUCUGUCAAGCCGCUCCCGAGGCACCACCUUCUGAGAUGAGAACUGCAACUCUGAAACAAACUAAGCAGAGCAGGACCCUGGAAACACGGCCUCAAAAACCCAGCACUGGGGAUCACCCUGGGCAUGGAAGAUGAGGUGACAUGACACGCACGUGUGAAGCUCAUCUGGCAAGAGGAGAGAAUGAAAGGAGCGGAUGGAUGGGAAUAAUCAUUCAAAGAACACUGGGCUGAGAACACACAUCGUAAUGCUUCCUCCUUUUACAAAGCCUACUGCAUUUUACUGUUCUUUUUGGUAUGACCUACAGACAGUUUUAGUUAAGCUGGGGACACAUUAAGAUAACACCAAUUGGUGAAAUAGUUAAAGGUGCAGCUCAACGUUUUAAAAAGAUCACCAAAAUAAA